rnacentral:lncRNA from 1 species
GGGGGGAGUUCGGACAUGCUUGUGUCCGGGAAAAGUUUGAGAACGUGGUCGAGCUUCACUCGACCCUUUUUCAGCUGUGGGCUUGCUGGAGUCACCCACCUGCCGCUCCUUCACGGCCUCCUCGUCCUUCAUCUUGAAGGCUUCCUCUGCUCAGGCAUAUCCUUCGGCUCGAGCUAGUAAAUCAGUGAUGUCCCUGGGAUACUUCUUUUUCAGGAAAAAUAGAAGGUCAUUCUUUUGAAGACCGCUCUUUAGGGUGGCCAU